UACGUAGGGGCGAGCGUUGUCCGGAAUGAUUGGGCGUAAAGGGCGCGUAGGCGGCUGUUUAAGUCUGGAGCGGAAGUCCUAUUUUUAAGGUAGGAAUUGCUUUGGAAACUGAGCAGCUUGAGUGCAGGAGAGGUCAUCGGAAUUCCCGGUGUAGCGGUGAAAUGCGUAGAGAUCGGGAGGAACACCAGUGGCGAAGGCGGGUGACUGGACUGCAACUGACGCUGAGGCGCGAAAGUGUGGGGAGCAAACAGGAUUAGAUACCCUGGUAGU
rnacentral:rRNA from 1 species